GAUGAACGCUGGCGGCGUGCUUAACACAUGCAAGUCGAACGAAGCAUUAGCGAGAGAUUUUUUCGGAAUGAAGUUGCUUAUGAAUGAGUGGCGGAUGCGUGAGUAACGAGUGGGUAACGUGCGUUGUAGUGGGGGAUAGCAGGUGAAAACGGCAGGUAAUAUAGCGUAAGAGCCAAAUGUUGUAUGACCUGGUGUGGAAAACUCCGGUGGUAUAAGAUGGACCCGCGUCUGAUUAGCAAGUUGGUGCGAUUAAAGGCCACCAAGGCGACGAGCAGUAGCCGACAUCUGAGGGUCACCCGCCACACUUGGACUAAGCAACAGCCCAGACUCCUACGCGAGGCGGCAGUGGGUAAUAUUGCACAAUGGAGUAAACGCUGAUGCAGCUACGCCGCGUGAGUGAAGUAGUUAUGCAUUAAGUAAAGCUCUAUCAGCAGGGAAUAUAGUGACGGUACCUAACGAAUAAGCUCCGGCUAACUACGUG
rnacentral:rRNA from 1 species